GAAAUGCGAUAACUAGUGUGAAUUGCAGAAUUCCGUGAAUCAUCGAGUCUUUGAACGCACAUUGCGCCCCCUGGUAUUCCGGGGGGGCAUGCCUGUCCGAGCGUCAUUGCUGCCCAUCAAGCACGGCUUGUGUGUUGGGUCGUCGUCCCCUCUCCGGGGGGGACGGGCCCCAAAGGCAGCGGCGGCACCGCGUCCGAUCCUCGAGCGUAUGGGGCUUUGUCACCCGCUCUGUAGGCCCGGCCGGCGCUUGCCGAACGCAAAUCAAUCUUUUUCCAGGUUGACCUCGGAUCAGGUAGGGAUACCCGCUGAACUUAAGC
rnacentral:misc_RNA from 1 species